AUUGCUGGCGACCGGCGCACGGGUGAGUAACACGUAUCCAACCUGCCGAUAACUCGGGGAUAGCCUUUCGAAAGAAAGAUUAAUACCCGAUGGCAUAAUUAGACCGUAUGGUUUGAUUAUUAAAGAAUUUCGGUUAUCGAUGGGGAUGCGUUCCAUUAGGCAGUUGGUGAGGUAACGGCUCACCAAACCUUCGAUGGAUAGGGGUUCUGAGAGGAAGGUCCCCCACAUUGGAACUGAGACACGGUCCAA
rnacentral:rRNA from 1 species